CCGUCAGUAAGAUAUAUCCUUACCUGUUACUCCUCCUGGAGUUACAGAAAAUUAUGAAUGGACAAUAUGAGCCAGUGAUUGACUAGCUCACACCCCAGAGGAACUAACAGCUCCUUAGGGUCAUUCUGAU